CCUACGGGUGGCAGCAGUGGGGGAUAUUGCACAAUGGGGGAAACCCUGAUGCAGCGACGCCGCGUGUGGGAAGACGGUCCUCUGGAUUGUAAACCACUGUCCCCAGGGACGAAAAUGACGGUACCUGGGGAGGAACCUCCGACUAACUACGUGCCAGCGGCCGCGGUAAUACGUAGGGAGCGAGCGUUGUCAGGACUUACGGGGGGUAAAGGGAGCGUAGGCGGGGAUGCAAGUUGGGUGUCAAAACUACCGGCUAAACUGGUAGGCGCACUCAAAACUGGAGGUCUUGAGUGAAGUAGAGGCAGGCGGAAUUCCUAGUGUAGCGGUGAAAUGCGUAGAUAUUAGGAGGAACACCAGUGGCGAAGGCGGCCUGCUGGGCUUUUACUGACGCUGAGGCUCGAAAGUGUGGGGAGCAAACAGGAUUAGAUACCCUAGUAGUC
rnacentral:rRNA from 1 species